UACGUAGGGGGCAAGCGUUGUUCGGAAUUACUGGGCGUAAAGGGCGCGUAGGCGGCAUGGCAAGUCGGGAGUGAAAGCCCUGGGCUCAACCCGGGAACUGCUUUCGAAACUGACCAGCUAGAGUGCGGAAGAGGCAACUGGAAUUCCCAGUGUAGCGGUGAAAUGCGUAGAUAUUGGGAAGAACACCUGAGGCGAAGGCGGGUUGCUGGGCCGACACUGACGCUGAGGCGCGAAAGCCAGGGGAGACAAAGCGGGAUUAAGCAAACCCG
rnacentral:rRNA from 1 species